rnacentral:rRNA from 1 species
UCGCCAUAGCAACGGCUCAUCAAGCUGACGAGAGGUAGCCGGACCACGAGGUGAAUCAGACACAUCGCGAAUUCGUUCGGGACCCAGCUCUUAGGAAUAGCAGCCAAGGGGAAUAAAUGUCAUCCGGGCAAACCGUGACCCAGAGGACGCCCUUGAAGGUUGAAAGCUUUUGUGUUGUAAAAUCAUUAAGGGAGGGACGAAAUUGACGGUACCUCCAGAACAAGUCAGGGUCAACUAACUGCCAGCCGGCAGGGUAAUUAGUAGGGGGCAUGCGUUAUCUGUCUUUAAUUGGUGUAAAUGACGGGCGGGUGGUUGGCCAAGUCAGAUGUGAAAGAACAAGGCUUAACUUUGACAGGUCAUCUGAAACAUAGGGACUUGAGUAUCAGAGGGGAAAGUGGAAUUAAUGGUGGAGCGGUAAAAUGAGCAGAGAUCAGGAGGAACACCGGUGGAGAAGGCGACUUUCACACUGACACAUGACGGAGAGGCGGGCAAGAAAGGGGAGCAAACAAACUUGGUUAGCUAGCUAGUUCAUGCACUAAAUAAUGGUUAAUAAGUGUAGGUGGUAU